rnacentral:rRNA from 1 species
UACGUAGGGUGCGAGUGUUAAUCGGAAUUACUGGGCGUAAAGCGUGCGCAGGCGGUUCGUUAAGUUCGUUGUGAAAGCCCCGGGCUCAACCUGGGAACUGCAAUGGAAACUGGCGGGCUUGAGUGUGGCAGAGGGGGGUGGAAUUCCGCGUGUAGCAGUGAAAUGCGUAGAUAUGCGGAGGAACACCGAUGGCGAAGGCAAUCCCCUGGGCCUGCACUGACGCUCAUGCACGAAAGCGUGGGGAGCAAACAGG